AUUGAACGCUGGCGGCAUGCCUUACACAUGCAAGUCGAACGGCAGCACGUGGGCAACCCUGGUGGCGAGUGGCGAACGGGUGAGUAACAUAUCGGAACAUACCCUAGAGUGGGGAUAACGUAGCGAAGUUACGCUAAUACCGCAUACGAUCUAAGGAUGAAAGUGGGGGAUCUUCGGACCUCAUGCUCAUGGAGUGGCCGAUAUCUGAUUAGCUAGUUGGUGAGGUAAAGGCUCACCAAGGCGACGAUCAGUAGCUGGUUUGAGAGAACGACCAGCCACACUGGAACUGAGACACGGUCCAGACUCCUACGGGAGGCAGCAGUGGGGAAUUUUGGACAAUGGGGGCAACCCUGAUCCAGCCAU
rnacentral:rRNA from 1 species